AACACAUGCAAGUCGAACGGUAACAUUUCUAGCUUGCUAGAAGAUGACGAGCGGCGGACGGGUGAGUAAUGCUUGGGAACAUGCCUUGAGGUGGGGGACAACCAUUGGAAACGAUGGCUAAUACCGCAUAAUGUCUACGGACCAAAGGGGGCUUCGGCUCUCGCCUUUAGAUUGGCCCAAGUGGGAUUAGCUAGUUGGUGAGGUAAAGGCUCACCAAGGCGACGAUGGGUAGCUGGUUUGAGAGGAUGAUCAGCCACACUGGAACUGAGACACGGUCCAGACUCCUACGGGAGGCAGCAGUGGGGA
rnacentral:rRNA from 1 species